rnacentral:rRNA from 1 species
UACGUAGGGUGCGAGCGUUGUCCGGAAUUACUGGGCGUAAAGAGCUCGUAGGCGGUUUGUCGCGUCGGCUGUGAAAACUCGGGGCUCAACCCCGAGCCUGCAGUCGAUACGGGCAAACUCGAGUGCGGUAGGGGAGACUGGAAUUCCUGGUGUAGCGGUGAAAUGCGCAGAUAUCAGGAGGAACACCGGCGGCGAAGGCGGGUCUCUGGGCCGUAACUGACGCUGAGGAGCGAAAGCGUGGGGAGCGAACAGG